GGCCUCGUAGCUCAGUUGGCUAGAGCGUUGGCUGUACUAAAGCCUUCCCCUUGCUGGCGUGCGUUCGAAUCCUACCAAGGCCG
rnacentral:tRNA from 1 species